rnacentral:lncRNA from 1 species
UUGCUUUGAUGGGUAGGAAUCAAUUUUGCAUUUGAAUGACAGAGUAGCAGUGGGAUUGGAAAGAGCCAUUGAAAAUGGAUUAUGCUAAUGCAAACUGCCAACCAUUAUAACUGUUGGAACAAAAAAUUCACUGUAACGAACAUUCAUAAUUAAUUUUGAAUUAACGAAACUUUAUGAUAAUUAAUGAAAUACACAUGUGGAGCUGAAAUGGCCCAAAUAAGUGGCUGACAUAUUUAGGAAUCGGGAGCUACUCCCUCCACCUCUCCAUUUUCUC